rnacentral:rRNA from 1 species
CCUACGGGGGGCUGCAGUGAGGAAUAUUGGUCAAUGGACGAGAGUCUGAACCAGCCAAGCAGCGUGAAGGAUGACUGCCCUAUGGGUUGUAAACUUCUUUUAUAUGGGAAUAAAAUGUUCCACGUGUGGGAUUUUGUAUGUACCAUAUGAAUAAGGAUCGGCUAACUCCGUGCCAGCAGCCGCGGUAAUACGGAGGAUGCGAGCGUUAUCCGGAUUUAUUGGGUUUAAAGGGAGCGUAGGUGGGUUGUUAAGUCAGUUGUGAAAGUUUGCGGCUCAACCGUGAAAUUGCAGUUGAAACUGGCAGUCUUGAGUACAGUAGAGGUAGGCGGAAUGCGUGGUGUAGCGGUGAAAUGCAUAGAGAUCACGAAGAACACCGAUUGCGAAGGCAGCUUACUGGACUGCAACUGACGUUGAGGCUCGAAAGUGUGGGGAUCAAACAGGAUUAGAUACCCGAGUAGUC